AAUGAGCUAAAAAAAUAAUAAGUAAAUUUAUACAAAUGUAUACGGUACAAAGCGAUGAAUAAAAAAAAAGAAAAGAAAUAUGUAACCAACAUUUGUGGUCAAACAUAUUCAUUUCAGGAUAGUGAAUUGAACUGAAAAAUAAAAUACUACUUGUACACAAUUACAAUUUCAAAUUAUUUUUAUAUCUUGCAGUUAUGACAGUUAUAAAUUUUAUCUUAGUAAUUAAUAUCUCAGUGAUAUUAAGAUUGGGUUUGCUUAAUAUUUCUUUCAAAACAGAGUACGUUCGCCAAAAUUGUGGCAAUCGUUUGCCAUUAAGGUUGGGGAUUUAAAGAUGAGUUCUUCAAUAUUGGACUGAGUUUUGAUUAACAUAGCGAAGAACCUAUCGUUUUCGUUAUCGAAUUACAGAAUUGUUUGAUUUCAUAAUGCCAUAUGAGCGUAUAAAAAGUUAUGAAAGGGACUUGGUUGAAAUGCAAACUAAUCUUAAGACAUGAAUGAGGUAUAAAAAGUUAUGAAAGUGACUUGGUUGAAAUGCAAAGAGGGAGCUAAACUAAUCUUAAGACAUUAAUCAGGUAUGUAUAUUUUUGUUGGUGUUUCAUAUUUUCCAUUUUUUUUUUAUUUAAUUAGCACUUUCUGUUCAUUUUUAAAUGUGUUCUAAUGUAAGGGACCAGAAAAAAGUUACAUGAA